rnacentral:rRNA from 1 species
UACGAAGGGGGCUAGCGUUGUUCGGAAUUAUUGGGCGUAAAGCGCGUGUAGGCGGCUUUGCAAGUCGGGUGUGAAAGCCCUCGGCUCAACCGUGGAAGUGCGCCCGAAACUGCAGAGCUUGAGUACCGGAGAGGAUGGCGGAAUUCCCCAAGUAGAGGUGAAAUGCGUAGAUAUCGGGAGGAACACCUGUGGCGAAGGCGGCCCCCUGGUUGGAUACUGACGCUGAUACGCGAAAGCGUGGGGAGCAAACAGG